UACGGGGGGGGGCAAGCGUUGUUCGGAAUUACUGGGCGUAAAGGGCUCGUAGGCGGCCAACUAAGUCAGACGUGAAAUCCCUCGGCUUAACCGGGGAACUGCAUCUGAUACUGGAUGGCUUGAGUUCGGGAGAGGGAUGCGGAAUUCCAGGUGUAGCGGUGAAAUGCGUAGAUAUCUGGAGGAACACCGGUGGCGAAGGCGGCAUCCUGGACCGACACUGACGCUGAGGAGCGAAAAGCCAGGGGAGCAAACGGG
rnacentral:rRNA from 1 species